rnacentral:rRNA from 1 species
AAUGAACGUUGGCGGCGUGGAUUAGGCAUGCAAGUCGCGCGGGUGUAGCAAUACACCAACGGCGUAAGGGACAGUAAUGUAUAGGUACCUGCCCUCGGGACGGGGAUAGCGGUGGGAAACUGCCGGUAAUACCCGAUGACGUCUUCGGGCCAAAGGUGUGAGUCCGCCCGGGGAUGGGCCUGUAUCCUAUUAGCUUGUUGGCGGGGUAACGGCCCACCAAGGCGAUGAUGGGUAGCAGGUGUGAGAGCACGACCUGCGUCAUUGGGACUGAGACACUGCCCAGACACCUACGGGUGGCUGCAGUCGAGAAUCUUCGGCAAUGGGCGCAAGCCUGACCGAGCGACGCCGCGUGCGGGAUGAAGGCCUUCGGGUUGUAAACCGCUGUCAGUGGGGAGGAAGGCUCCGUGAAGAGCGGGGUUUGACCUAUCCGCAGAGGAAGGACGGGCUAAGUUCGUGCCAGCCGCCGCAGUAAUAC